rnacentral:tRNA from 1 species
GGUUGUGGCUCAGCGGUAGAGCGCUUGCCUAGCAUGUGUGAGGCACUGGGUUCAAUCCUCAGCACCA